AUGUUGCAGACCAAACUCAUCGCCGCGCUCCAUCACAGUGCAGUGGGUGGUCACUCCGGCGCCAUGGCCAUCUACCACCGUGUUCGCAAGUUGUUCGCCUGGCACGGGCUGAAGCGUGCCGUGGAAGAUUUCGUCCGGCAGUGCGCUGUGUGCCAACAUGCCAAGCACGAGCACACGCACCCUGCCGGCAAGCUCCAACCCCUUCCAAUUCCCACGGAACCAUGGCAGGAGCUGACCAUGGAUUUCGUGGAAGGGUUGCCGAAGUCUGAAGGCUCAGACACAAUCAUGGUCGUCGUCGAUCGGCUGACCAAGUACGCGCACUUCGUGCUGCUUCGUCACCCCUUCACCGCCAUUCAGGUCGCUGGCGCCUUCUGGGAGCACAUCAUCAAGCUCCAUGGCGUACCACAUUCGAUCGUCUUCGACCGCGACAAGAUCUUCACAAGCUUAAUGUGGCGUGAAUUGCUCGCCACCGCUGGAACCAAACUACUCUACUCCACCGCGUACCACCCCCAGACAGACGGCCAAACCGAGCGCGUCAACUAG
rnacentral:rRNA from 1 species